rnacentral:rRNA from 1 species
AUUGAACGCUGGCGGCAGGCCUAACACAUGCAAGUCGAACGGUAACAGAAAGCAGCUUGCUGCUUUGCUGACGAGUGGCGGACGGGUGAGUAAUGUCUGGGAAACUGCCUGAUGGAGGGGGAUAACUACUGGAAACGGUAGCUAAUACCGCAUAACGUCGCAAGACCAAAGAGGGGGACCUUCGGGCCUCUUGCCAUCGGAUGUGCCCAGAUGGGAUUAGCUAGUAGGUGGGGUAACGGCUCACCUAGGCGACGAUCCCUAGCUGGUCUGAGAGGAUGACCAGUCACACUGGAACUGAGACACGGUCCAGACUCCUACGGGAGGCAGCAGUGGGGAAUAUUGCACAAUGGGCGCAAGCCUGAUGCAGCCAUGCCGCGUGUAUGAAGAAGGCCUUCGGGUUGUAAAGUACUUUCAGCGGGGAGGAAGGGAGUAAAGUUAAUACCUUUGCUCAUUGACGUUACCCGCAGAAGAAGCACCGGCUAACUCCGUG